UACGAAGGGGGCUAGCGUUGUUCGGAAUCACUGGGCGUAAAGGGCGCGUAGGCGGCUGUUCAAGUCGGGGGUGAAAGCCUGUGGCUCAACCACAGAAUUGCCUUCGAUACUGGACGGCUGGAGACCGGAAGAGGUCAGUGGAACUGCGAGUGUAGAGGUGAAAUUCGUAGAUAUUCGCAAGAACACCAGUGGCGAAGGCGGCUGACUGGUCCGGUAUUGACGCUGAGGUGCGAAAGCGUGGGGAGCGAACAGG
rnacentral:rRNA from 1 species